rnacentral:rRNA from 2 species
UGCAGUCGAACGAUGAACCACUUCGGUGGGGAUUAGUGGCGAACGGGUGAGUAACACGUGGGCAAUCUGCCCUUCACUCUGGGACAAGCCCUGGAAACGGGGUCUAAUACCGGAUAUGAGCCUGGGAGGCAUCUCCUGGGUUGUAAAGCUCCGGCGGUGAAGGAUGAGCCCGCGGCCUAUCAGCUUGUUGGUGAGGUAAUGGCUCACCAAGGCGACGACGGGUAGCCGGCCUGAGAGGGCGACCGGCCACACUGGGACUGAGACACGGCCCAGACUCCUACGGGAGGCAGCAGUGGGGAAUAUUGCACAAUGGGCGAAAGCCUGAUGCAGCGACGCCGCGUGAGGGAUGACGGCCUUCGGGUUGUAAACCUCUUUCAGCAGGGAAGAAGCGAAAGUGACGGUACCUGCAGAAGAAGCGCCGGCUAACUACGUGCCAGCAGCCGCGGUAAUACGUAGGGCGCAAGCGUUGUCCGGAAUUAUUGGGCGUAAAGAGCUCGUAGGCGGCUUGUCACGUCGAUUGUGAAAGCCCGAGGCUUAACUUCGGGUCUGCAGUCGAUACGGGCUAGCUAGAGUGUGGUAGGGGAGAUCGGAAUUCCUGGUGUAGCGGUGAAAUGCGCAGAUAUCAGGAGGAACACCGGUGGCGAAGGCGGAUCUCUGGGCCAUUACUGACGCUGAGGAGCGAAAGCGUGGGAGCGAACAGGAUUAGAUACCCUGGUAGUCCACGCCGUAAA